UCAUCAGUCCAUUCACUGAGUGCGAUCAAUCACGGUGGCUCAUUCAGGCGACUCAUCAGCUGGGCGGGCCAUUCAUUCAUUAAUAGUAAGCCCAGCAACCCUUCUGUGGGCCGUGCUCCCCGCCGCUGUCUGUAGUCCUCCCAGGGCCCAGGAGGGGGGAUGUCCUUGCCCCCUCCCUAGGAACAGGAAAGCUGAGGCCGCCGUCCCUUCUUGAGCCAUGCCCUCCCCCCGCCUCCGCUGGACCAGGGACCCCUGCUCUGCAAAAGCUGGAGAGCCCCAUGCUGCAUGGAAAGUGCCUGCACCGGCUUGCCUCCCCACCACGGGGCACCGGGGUCCCCUUCCUCCACGUGCUCACCAGCACCUGUCUCUGGUCUUCGUGAGGGCAGCCAUGCUGACAUGUAUGAGGGGCGAUCCUGUUGUGGUGAACAAAUUCACUUUAAACCCAACACUUUGCGAAAGCAGUUGUAAUGGAAAAGGACAUUUCACGAGAUCGCACCAAGUGGAAUGCUAGUCUGGCUGACCACACGUCUCGAGGAAGUGUGAGAUCAUCCUGGAUCAGACGGGGUCCCAAAUCCAAUGACUGGCAUCCUUCUAAGAGAAGGGAGGUCUACAUCGGGGGACAGAGGGAGGAAGGACCGCGUGAAGACACGCGCAGAGACCGGAGUGAGGCGGCCACAUGCCAGGAUGGCCAGCAACACCAGAAGCCAGGAGGGAGGUGGGGAACGGAUGCUCCCUCUGAGCCCCCAGAGGAAACCGGCCCACCGACCCCUUGAUCUCAGACCUCUGGUCUCCAGAGCGGUGGGAACACAUUUGUGUUAUUUUGAGCCGCGUGGUUUGUGGUCAUUUGUUACGGUGGCCCUGGGAAACACACACAGCAAGUGGGGCUGGUUUUGUGUUUUGGUUUCCAGUGAUAAAGUCUCCCCCUUUUUCAGCACAUUGAAUUUAUAAGGUCAGUCAAGAGUCGAGGGAGUGAUAGCUCAGGUAUGUUGAGGCAGGCACCGUCUGGAGGGAAAGCAGGCUGAGCCAGGUGGCGUGGGGCCCAGGAGCAGGGUGGGCUAAGGGCCACAGCGCUCAGGUUCUGGGGUGGGUGAGGUGCCUGGAGGGCAGGGGGGGCCUCCUGCUGCCCCCCUCUUGCACCUUCGAGUAAAUUCCUGGGAAGCCCCACGUGUUCCCGUCUGGGUGAUUCAGACCUCUCUUCCUUAGGAGAGAGGCGCUUCAGAUAGGGUUUUUUCCCACCGCUCUCAAGGGCCACGAGGUGUCAGGACAGGAGGGGAAGGGGGUUUCCAGCAGGCGGUCGCCGGGAAGCCAUCUUCCCUGAGCAUGGGACCCAAGGUCAUUCGCUGGCAGGAUGC